GGGCCGAUAGCUCAGUUGGUAGAGCGCCGAGCUGAAACCUCGGAAGUCGCGGGUUCAAGUCCCGUUCGGUCGG
rnacentral:tRNA from 1 species